rnacentral:rRNA from 1 species
UGGGGAAUAUUGGACAAUGGGCGAAAGCCUGAUCCAGCCAUGCCGCGUGUGUGAAGAAGGUCUUCGGAUUGUAAAGCACUUUAAGUUGGGAGGAAGGGCAUUAACCUAAUACGUUAGUGUUUUGACGUUACCGACAGAAUAAGCACCGGCUAACUCUGUGCCAGCAGCCGCGGUAAUACAGAGGGUGCAAGCGUUAAUCGGAAUUACUGGGCGUAAAGCGCGCGUAGGUGGUUUGUUAAGUUGGAUGUGAAAUCCCCGGGCUCAACCUGGGAACUGCAUUCAAAACUGAUUGACUAGAGUAUGGUAGAGGGUGGUGGAAUUUCCUGUGUAGCGGUGAAAUGCGUAGAUAUAGGAAGGAACACCAGUGGCGAAGGCGACCACCUGGACUAAUACUGACACUGAGGUGCGAAAGCGUGGGGAGCAAACA